rnacentral:rRNA from 1 species
GAUGAACGCUAGCUACAGGCUUAACACAUGCAAGUCGAGGGGUAGCAGGGUAGCAAUACCGCUGACGACCGGCGCACGGGUGAGUAACACGUAUCCAACCUUCCCAUAACUCGGGGAUAGCCUUUCGAAAGAAAGAUUAAUACCCGAUAGUACUUUUUCAAGGCAUCUUGAAAAAGUUAAAGAUUUAUUGGUUAUGGAUGGGGAUGCGUUCCAUUAGAUAGUUGGUGAGGUAACGGCUCACCAAGUCUUCGAUGGAUAGGGGUUCUGAGAGGAAGGUCCCCCACAUUGGUACUGAGACGCGGACCAAACUCCUACGGGAGGCAGCAGUGAGGAAUAUUGGUCAAUGGGCGAGAGCCUGAACCAGCCAAGUAGCGUGAAGGAUGAAGGUCCUAUGGAUUGUAAACUUCUUUUAUAGUAGAAUAAAGUGAGCCACGUGUGGUUUUUUGUAUGUAUACUAUGAAUAAGGAUCGGCUAACUCCGUGCCAGCCGCCGCAGUAA